GACCAAUAUGAUCAUCACAAUAAAUUAGUAUACGCAGUAAGGAAAGUGACCGAUGAUCAAGUAUAUCACUUCGACUCUAAUCAAGGAAAACACAAUAAAGUAGUUUAAGCUACCGGCUGUAGCACUGAGAAUUCUUUAUUAAGAAAGAGGCAUUAUUUAGCGUUCUCUUUCAAUCCACUUCAACUUGCGAAAUAUCUCUUAACAAUCUCAAUUUUUUCUUCUUUUGUAAUAAAAACAUACCAGAUGUACCAAAUCCAAUCCUUGGAUGCAUAAUUUGCUUGAGGGUGGCAUAAUCUUCAGCCUUAAUCAAUUGUGAAACUUCAUUCCUCGUAGUUUCAUCCUAAUGCGUUCAAUCUGUUAGUUCCACAGUACUUCCAUAGUAAAUAUAGUCCUAAUACUUACUUGAUCUAAUUUGAACCACUCAUCUACUAAUUCUUGCAAAAUCGGAUCCAUCUUGCCAAAUGGGAAUUGUUACCAUUUGUUUGCUACACACACAAUACACGUAUCUCAUCACCUCGUUUAACGCGUCCUUACGCCGUGGUAUUUCGUAUCCGUUUUCUUACAAAAAUGAUUUUAAUAAAAUAGACUCAAAAACAAAAAGUAGUAAUAAUAUUAUACUCAUGACCUCCAAUUAUUCUAGAGAAUUUCUUAAAACAUUAGCUGCAAAAAGAAGCCUAGUAAUUUGAAAGCAGCAGUUAAUUACGAUAUAUACCGCUUACAAAAAGGAGAAAUUGGAAGAAUUCAAGACCUGACGUCAAUUCGCAAGCUGAAUCGUUUUAAUUAAUAGGCGUCGGACAAUGGGAUUCACUUAGGCUUGGCGACGUUCUUGUCUAAAAAUUGCUUGUCGGAAUGUGUCAUUGAACCGAAAAGGUUUGAAGCUCUUGACUAAUAAACAACAGUAACUGAUGUUAACUUUUUAUAGAAUAUCCCAGGUUUCAAUUCAACACGUUUAUUCAUAAAUCUCAAUCUAUGUUAUGCAGAUGAGAUUGAAAAUCAAUACCAUCAAGUACAACUUCUCUAAACUGAACGGGUUAAGUAUGGAAUGGUUUAAAGUUUUAAGUACUGGAUCACUCCAAGCUUUGAGAUACGAUAAGAAAAUUAGUGUUAGUACAUUUGUGGCUUUAAUCACACCUUUUCCAUAACCAGGAACUAAGUUUUCAAAGAUCUACUAUUCGAUGAUGAAAAAAUAGCAUUCAUAAAGUUGAUAACAGCAUACAUAAAUGAAACUGAAAUAUUGAGGAGGUAAGGCAAACAUGAUGACCAUAGUUUCAAUUGACUAUGUAAUACGUACUAUGGCUCAUUAAAACCUAUCAAAGAAAGAGAAAUACGAAUAAGAGGAAAUUCAAGCCUGUUUAGAAUGAGAAGAGAAUAAAGAUUGGGUUUUGGCGAAGGAUACGCUGUUGCAUUAAAACAGCCUUAAAUAGGUUCUAUAAAUGGUUAGCAUGUAAAAAAAAUUAAAAUUGAAUCAUGAAAAAAUAUUAAAAAAUAAUAAAAAAACCUACCACUUAAGAGCUUGUUCAAAUUGUUGAGACGAGAACCAACACUGACAUCAAGAAUAUUAUCACCAAUUUCAACAAU